CCCAGCCAUCUGCUCACGCUGGCAGCAGUAGGCAGGCAGGCAGCCUCCUGCCACCCUUGUCCUCAUGCUGCUGGGGGACAGCAGUGCUGCUAUCUCCCCUCCAUCCCCCUGUCCCUGGGUGUUUUCCUGCUGCUGGCAGGGCAGAAGGAUGGAAGGAUGUUCCUUCACCAGGAUGACAGCUGUCCAAAAACACCUCUGUCAGCCGAGUCCCCACCUCCAGCAUCACCCUCUGGAUUUCAGCCGCCCUUCUACGGCCUCUGUGCAGCCCUGCAGGGAGAGACCCUCAAGCAAGCUCCAAAUCCUCACCCCAAACUGUUUUCCUACCCAGAGGAGCAGGAUGAAGCCUGGAGAGCAGCCUGGCAGUUUUAUUUCAAGCCCUGCAUGAACUUGGCACACAUGAAGAUAAGAGGACAGAGCCAGGCACGAACACGGCGAUAUCCCCCCCAGCUGCCCUCAGCAGCCACGGAAAGCUUGGCUAAACCCUAACCCACAGCAGCCUGGCUAAUCCAGCCUGCCUAGUCCAGCCUGGCUAAUCCAGCCCUCCCAAAGCCCCGGCGCUGAGCCGAGCCUCCGGGCCCGUCGCUGCCCAUCCCUCCGGCACCGCUCCCAGCCCAGCAGGAGCACACCAGUUGCCAGCUCUCAAACCUCUCCCUUCCCACCGAGGGAGAGUUUCCUCUGCCUGGAGGACGCUGCUGCAGCACCGUCCAGGCCCCUGGAUAAGUCAAUAGUGCCAUUCCUGUUUCCCGUUUGCCGAAAUACACUGGAUCUUUGUGCGGCGGAGGCGGAAAAAAUAUUAAUCUAAUUAGACUCCCUCCCUAAAAUUCCUCGUCACCUUAAUUACGCUUCAGAAAAGAAGGCUUGGUUCAUUUUCCUAGAAAAUCAGCUUGUCAGGAGACGCUUUCAACUCCUUAACAAGACCGAUCUGUGCUUCGCGACGCGUCCUCAAACCCUCGCCGGGAGCUGCGGGGAGCGACAGAUCCCGAAUUCCCGCCGGGAUAACGACCUUGCCCAACACGGUUAUGGUCUCUGCCAGCCUCCCAAAAGCCACCAAACUUUACGGGGCUGCCCUUCCGAGCUCUACCCUCGAGCACAUCCUUUCACACCCGGAGAACAAACGCGGGGGGCUGCGCUUUGCCACCGCCGGAGGAUGACAAAGGACGAAGUGCUGAGGUGCCGAGGAUGUCUAAGAGUUGUGGAGUGGGUGUGCGGGGGGAAUGCACAGCGGAAAGGCUGAGUUUGAUCACAGGAGUCCUAACGAGAGAGGGCAGCAGGAGAGACGUGCCUCUGCUUCGUGUCUGUGGCAGGGAUUGCUAGCGGAAGGGCUGGAUUUAAGUGCAUCUCAAUCACAAGAUUGGGCUGCGCACAGGAAACUUUGAACAGCCAUACGAAAAGACCACUCGGCUGCCCGGCCAUCAAUCGCUCAGCUUAUAAAAAUGCGG
rnacentral:lncRNA from 1 species